UCCGGGCACAGUCUGUGAUCCAGAUCCUAGGGCAGAUCUGUUUCCUGGGAGUUUUGUAAGUGGCAUGAGGAGAGGAAGCCAUCUCUUGGGCUGGGAUUGUUGGGGGAAGAGUUGGGGGCUUCUCAGGGCACCAUGUACCCGCCCCCCGACGGGUUCUGGGAGAGGGGAGAGCCAGUCUGCAAGGAGAAGGGGCAGUGAGAAGCCGCUACAAGCAGAGUGAGAAGGGGCAGAGGGGCCCUCACAGCAGGGCCGCGUCCUCCUGCUUCUCAAUAUACAGGACACUCACAAUUAAGUCUAUUGACGGUUCCAUUGCAAAUGUCUAAACGAAAGAUAGUAUAUGGGAGAUGAUCAGAAAGUGGCAUCUGACGGUCGGCCUGACACCGCCUUCCCUUUGUGCCAUGGAAACACCCAUGAUGAUAAAGAAAAUCAUGAAAGCUCAGUGCUACCAAAAAUUAGUACUAAGAGAGAAACUAUUGCCAAAUGUGGAAGGAUGUUUCCAAGCCCAAGGGUGGCUUCUCGAGAGUGGCGUAGCGAGUGCCUUACUCCAGUCUCAGUGCUUUAUUUUCCACACUUCAGUUAGAGCCCGUCCACCUCGCAGCGUCCCGUUCCAAAGCGAGCGCUGAGAGUGCACUGCCACUGUUCUUCCUGUAACUGGACAGUGCACCUGCGAUUCCUCACUGUCACCCUGGGCCUCGCUGGGACUGGUGUUCUCAGGUUGCACGGCUGCGCCACCUGCUCCUUCCAGUUAUGAAGUGCGUCACCACAGCCUCAUCGGUGGCCUUUUGCUCUCCCUGAGGGAGGCACGUGCUGACUAGCAAAGAGGUCUAUCGUGAUGGCAUCUGCCAUGGGAUGAACUGUGUCCCCCAAUUCAUAUGAAGUCCCAACCCCAGCACCUCAGAAUGGCACUGCACUUUCAGUAGGUGCUUAGGUCAAGAUGAGGUCAUACGAGUGGGCCCUAAUCCAAUGUGACCGGUGUCCUUGUGAGAAGAGUUUAGGACAGAGACACACAUGGAGAGAUGACCAUGUGAAGACCUGGGGAAAACACAGCCACCUGCCAGCCAAGGAGAGAGGUCGUCAGCAGGAAGCCACCCUGUGACAUAUUAAUCUCAGACUUCCAGCCUCCAGAAUGAUAAGAAAAUAAAUCCUGACGUUCGAAUCUCCAGUGACCUUUCUGAAAGUCCCGGAAGUGAAGGACGAAAGCCCAGACCUCCUCCUUGCCUCAGUUUGUCUGUCUGGGGAGCAUUCGUCACGUGGGAUAAUACGGCAGACGGGCUAGUGCUUUCCCAUCCGGAAGAGAACGCUGCAUCCCGCCCUCUAGUGGAGAAGGGGCGUCACGCCGCCCAAACCGAGCCACUCAGAGCUCCUCUGGGGAACUUGAACCCUGAAGAGAGACCCCAAAAUGGAAAGUGAUCCGGAAUGAUUUGUCCAGAAAGCGGUACCUUAGAGAAGCUGUCCAAGUGUUUCUGCUCUAGAGCUUUCCUGAGUCCUGUUUUUUCUGAGACCUUGUUAUUCAGCCUUUUCUUUAAUCCAGUGAGCUACUCCAUGUUCUUCUAACACUGGUUGGUUGGUUGGUUACUUCAUUUAGCCAGAGUGUGUCUCUGUUGUUUGUCAGUGAUAUAAAGGAUAUGUUCAUUUAAUAUUUUGACAAAUAUUUCUAUCUGCCCUCCAAUCUGAGAUAGCAAUUUAUAUUGUACUUCUACCAACAAGUUGGCAGCGUUUGGUUAUUUUGUUUUGCUUUUGUUUUGUUUUGAUUUGCUUUGUACUAGUCUGUGGUGUUAUGAGCAGAAUUUCCUUUUAUUCAAUUUUUCUAAUACAAUGCCACUUUGAUUUCCUGAUAGAGAGAUGUUGUUGAUUUCUAAAUAAGUGAAAUGCUGUUGACUGUAGUAGAUUGGCCAACAAAUAACUCAUUAUUGCCAGAAUACAACUGGUUUGUAUUAACUUACCAGAGGUAUAGCUGAUGAAAUGAUCUAGUGUCAAAUUAAUUUCAUUUAUAAGUGAAGUGAUUCACAAGGAUAUGAGCCGCAAGCUUGGACACUAAGGAUUCCAAAACUCAGCAUUCUUACAUGAUUACCUUUGUGGCUAUACAUAAUGACAUAAUCAUCAAGUACUACCAAAAAGAAUGGUCAUACAUGGUACAAAAAGUUCCUUUAAUGAACAUUAUGUUCACUGAAUUACUUUAUUCUUAGGAAAACCAGCUGUGGAAGUAGAACAAUUUGCAAUCUGAAUUGAAGGCAUACGAAAAUAAUUCAGAUUAUCCAACUGGGCAAAUAACAUCACUAAAAUGAUGUCCUGUGUAUGUGUGAAGAAAAAUGUCCAGGUGAUUUGUGGAAAACAUGAGCCACAGGUAAAGAUGAACUACAGUGAGAACUCAGUCACCCAAAAUCGUGCACGCCAGGGAGGGUGUGAAGAAAUGAAAUCACACCCACAGCCAGCUUCUUAAAACAUUUCCUACAGAAUGAAUAAGGGAAAAGAAUGUACACAGUGGACUUUUAUCUCCUCUUUCUCUCACGUCCCCUACUUUUGUUGAGAUUUUAAAAAAGAAUGGAAAAUGUUCAGUGGAGAUUUAUAAUGCUGGAACAAGGGCUUUGCAAGGUUUUGCACAAGAGCAAAAGUGUUAUUCAGAAUAUUUGACAGCCAGCAUAGUAAUAUAAAUAAAUAUAUAAAGCAAAAUUAAAUCAAUAACCACCAUGUGUUUUAUAGGCUCUCAGAAAGGAAGAUUACUUAAGUAAACAAAGUUGUGUUGUUUUGUUACUAAGAUACAUGGAAAGGAUUGUCUUCCCCGUGCCAAGCAGUGCAACUGACGGCAGGAGACGCUCCAAGUGCCUGGAAUAGAUAAAGGCUCCUUGCCAAGGCCUCCAGUGUGCUGUCCCACAGAGCUGAUAACCGACAUCCCCCGCUUUGCAGAGCUCACAGUUACGAGCGGUGUUUGCUGUAGGUUCUUUGUAGAUACUAUUAUUAGUUUAUGGACUCUCCCUCGUGUUUUGAGUUUCUUAAGAAUUAUUUUUAACAUGAAAAGGUGUUGAGUUUUAUCAGAUAUUUUUUCUGAGUCAAAUGAAAAGACCAUAUGGUUUUUCUUCUUUAAUCUAUUAAAUGUGGUAGAUUAUAUGUAUUCUAAUGUUAAACCUCUUCUGAAUUCCUUGGAUGGAGCAAAUCCAGACAAGACACAUUUUCUUUUUUUAUACUUGGUUGGAUUCAGUUUGUUAAGGUUGUAUAGGAUUUUUGUAUCAAUAUUUAUCAGUUAAUCAUCUGUAACUUUCCUCUGUUAUAUCAUCUUUGUCUAGUUUUGCCAUCAAGGCUGAAUAAACCUUAUAGAAUGUGACUAUGGGAAUACUUCAUUUCCUAUCUUCUAGAAGAUUGGAACAAUUUUUCCUUGAGAGAUUUUUAGAAUUUCCCAUAAAGUUGGCUGGGCCUGCUAUUUUCUUUGUGGGAAGAUGUUAAAUUGCUGAUUACAUUUCUUUAAUAAUUGUAGGACCAUUCAGGUGUUCCCUUUUUUUUUGAGUCAAAUUUAGUAAGUUAUAAUUUUCCAGGAAUUCAUUUAUUUCAAAUUUAUUAACAUAACAUUUGAUGAACAAAUGAAGUAAUUAUGAUAGGUAGAUAAAAUAUAUUUAAUAAUUAUUCUCUUUUAUUUUUAUGUCUGCUGUUUGUGUAGUUGUAUCUCUUUUUAAAUCCUAUUUAUUUGUGCCUUCUAUCUUUUAUUCUUGAUAAAUAUCACUAGAUGUUUGGUUAUUAUAUAAAUAUUUUCUAAGAACCAUUUUUUUGUAUUAGAU